UACGUAGGGUGCGAGCGUUGUCCGGAAUUAUUGGGCGUAAAGGGCUCGUAGGCGGUCCAUCGCGUCGGGAGUGAAAAGCUGGGGCUUAACCCCAGUCCUGCUUUCGAUACGGGUGGACUAGAGGUAGGCAGGGGAGAAUGGAAUUCCUGGUGUAGCGGUGAAAUGCGCAGAUAUCGGGAGGAACACCAAUGGCGAAGGCAGCUCGCUGGGACGUUACUGACGCUGAGACGCGAAAGCGUGGGGAGCAAACAGG
rnacentral:rRNA from 1 species